AGCGAACGCUAGCGGCAGGCUUAACACACGCAAGUCGAGCGCCAGGUUUCGGCCUGGAGCGGCGAACGGGUGAGUAACACGUAGGUCACGUACCCUAUGGUGGGGAAUACCCCGGGGAAACUCGGAUCAAUGCCCCAUAUGUCCGAAAGGAUGAAAGCGCUUCGGCGCGCCAGAGGAUCGGCCUGCGGCCCAUUAGUUAAUCCUAGUUGGUGAGGUAACGGCUCACCAAGGGUACGAUGGGUAGCUGGUCUGAGAGGACGAUCAGCCACACUGGAACUGAGACACGGUCCAGACUCCUACGGGAGGCAGCAGUGGGGAAUAUUGGACAAUGGGCGAAAGCCUGAUCCAGCCAUGCCGCGUGAGUGAUGAAGGCCUUCGGGUUGUAAAGCUCUGUCGUGGGGGAAGAAGUUCUGACGGUACCCCACAAGAAAGCACCGGCUAACUCCGUGCCAGCCGCCGCCGUAAGAC
rnacentral:rRNA from 1 species